rnacentral:rRNA from 1 species
UUCCGGUUGAUCCUGCCAGACCUGACUGCUAUCGGAUUGAUACUAAGCCAUGCGAGUCAUUGUAGCAAUACAAGGCAUACGGCUCAGUAACGCGUAGUCAACCUAACCUAUGGACGGGAAUAACCUCGGGAAACUGAGAAUAAUGCCCGAUAGAACAUUAUGCCUGGAAUGGUUUAUGUUCCAAAUGAUUUAUCGCCAUAGGAUGGGACUGCGGCCUAUCAGUUUGUUGGUGAGGUAAUGGCCCACCAAGACUAUUACAGGUACGGGCUCUGAGAGGAGUAGCCCGGAGAUGGGUACUGAGACACGGACCCAGGCCCUAUGGGGCGCAGCAGGCGAGAAAACUUUGCAAUGUGCGAAAGCACGACAAGGUUAAUCCGAGUGAUUUCUGCUAAAGAGAUCUUUUGUUAGUCCUAGAAACACUAACGAAUAAGGGGUGGGCAAGUUCUGGUGUCAGCCGCCGCGGUAAAACCAGCACCUCAAGUGGUCAGGAUGAUUAUUGGGCCUAAAGCAUCCGUAGCCGGCUCUGUAAGUUUUCGGUUAAAUCUGUACGCUCAACGUACAGGCUGCCGGAAAUACUGCAGAACUAGGGAGUGGGAGAGGUAGACGGUACUCGGUAGGAAGUGGUAAAAUGCUUUGAUCUAUCGAUGACCACCUGUGGCGAAGGCGGUCUACCAGAACACGUCCGACGGUGAGGGAUGAAAGCUGGGGGAGCAAACCGGAUUAGAUACCCGGGUAGUCCCAGCUGUAAACUAUGCAAACUCAGUGAUGCAUUGGCUUGUGGCCAAUGCAGUGCUGCAGGGAAGCCGUUAAGUUUGCCGCCUGGGAAGUACGUACGCAAGUAUGAAACUUAAAGGAAUUGGCGGGGGAGCACCACAAGGGGUGAAGCCUGCGGUUCAAUUGG